UACGUAGGGUGCAAGCGUUGUCCGGAAUUAUUGGGCGUAAAGAGCUCGUAGGCGGUUUGUCGCGUCUGCUGUGAAAACCUAAGGCUCAACCUUGGGCUUGCAGUGGGUACGGGCAGACUAGAGUGCGGUAGGGGUGACUGGAAUUCCUGGUGUAGCGGUGGAAUGCGCAGAUAUCAGGAGGAACACCGAUGGCGAAGGCAGGUCACUGGGCCGCAACUGACGCUGAGGAGCGAAAGCGUGGGUAGCGAACAGG
rnacentral:rRNA from 1 species